CACUGGUCAGAGACUUAUUGGUCUCUCACUACAAUGGGCAUUUUUUUAGAGGCCCAUCUACGAUAUAGAAGGUAAAUAUACACUGGAAUAUUUCCGUAAGGGCCUUUUACAUAUUGACAAACGAUAAUAACAUGUAUAUGCCUGUUUAGGGUGAAAAUAAGCGAUUUAUUUCAAGAUAGCAUAUUCGCCCCAUAGGAGUCAUCUAACGAUAGUAUCCAAUAUGGCGCCCAUGAUUUGAGUUGGCCAGACUCUCUCUAAUAUACGGCUCUGCAGAGCGUAGUGGCUUUCCUGUUACUAGCCGCCAGCUGGAUCUCAUCAUCUAAUGAGUCUCUGUGUACAACUAUAGGCUACUGUUUGGCAUGCAAUGCAAUGUUCCCUUGGUCACAUAUUUGAGAUUUUACUCAAAAAUGUAACAGCAACUUAAUUCUUAACACACAAUUUAGAAAGUGCAUGAAUGCAUUGCAUUUUGAAUACAAAGUCAACUGAAAUUUGCACCUACAGUAUACUCUUUAUCAAUGUAAAAAAUGACAGCUGCUGUACCAUCCUUUGGGACUUUUUUUAGGAGGUUAACCCAAACACUAAAAGAGCUCCGCAGUAACCACGCUAAUAAUGAUUGAGCACCAUGGCGGCCAGUUCAAGAAAAGUGACAGAGGUGCCUGGAGGCCUCACUGCAUCUCAUCAGGCUUUAUUAUUAAAUCCUAAUUUACUGCACACUGAUGAUGUUGGAUUAAUGGGUUGGAGGUAAGGAGCAGAGGGCCUCUGGCUUCCAGAUCAUGUGGUGCCUAUAGUCUCGCAUUGCCAGACGCUCCUCCACAGCUCUGCGAGGAGCGUUUGGCUAGUCCACACAACAUUCCAGGA